rnacentral:tRNA from 1 species
CGGGGAGUAGCGCAGCCUGGUAGCGCGCUUGGUUCGGGACCAAGAGGCCGGGAGUUCAAGUCUCCUCUCCCCGACCA